CAGGAAUGGUGAAUCGAAACCUUCUUGGCAGAAAGACCCAGUUUGCAUACUUAGCUCUUGCCGAGCCAUGGCCGAAAGUGUCUGGUUUUGCUAAAGUAGACCUCUCAACAGGAGAGGUACACAAGUAUAUCUAUGGAAACAACAAGUAUGGUGGUGAGCCUCUGUUUCUUCCGAGUGAACCAAACUCCAAUUCAGGCAAAGAAGAUUCUGGGUACAUUUUAUGCUUUGUUCAUGACGAAAAACAGUGGAAAUCAGAGCUACAAAUUGUGAAUGCCAUGAAUUUGCAGCUAGAAGCAACAGUGAAACUUCCUAGCCGAGUUCCUUAUGGUUUUCAUGGCACGUUUAUUAGUGCUAAGGAUUUGGAGAAGCAAGCCUAGAUAGAGAAGGCUGUGUAGGUAUGAUUUUCUUAGCAGAAGAUUCAGAGAGGAGAUUGACCAGAGGGAUUGUUUGCAGAUACGUCCCCGGGUCUCCUCAUCUGUCACAGUGUCAUCCUGUUUCUGGUUAUUUUUUCUCUUUUGGUUCACAUGUUUCAGAGUGAGAGGCUGAGGGAGCAGCUUGUAGCUUUCUGGGUAUAGGUAGACUGAAGCUCAGCUGGUCUCUGCUUAUUCUUUCA
rnacentral:misc_RNA from 1 species